rnacentral:lncRNA from 1 species
CUUAUCACCUCUGAAUAGCAUGCCAUUCUCUUAGCCUCAUCUAAGAAACAGACUGUAGGGGAAGAGAAGAUCUAGAAUGUUGGUCACCAACCAAUGGCAGACAUUAUCAGACAAUUUGUGAGCAAGGAAGUCAGGAACUGUGAGCCACCUGCCAUCUUAAUUUGACAUCUAGUCUCACUACUUUCAAGCACCUCCACUUCAAAAUACUCUUACAAGUGAAUCACCAUUGUUAAAUGGAUCUUUGAAGGAAUUUUGACAACCAGACUGAAAACAAUCUAGACAUCUUAGAUAUUUGUGGCUUCACAGAAAAUAAAAUAAAACAACCC